UGGCCAAAAUAGGAUGAUAAUUAGAAAGCGAUUUCUAAUGUAUCAUUAAUUGAAUCAUCACCUUUUGAUCCAGAUAUAUUUAGAUAAGCAAUUGGGCUUGACAUGAUUCCAUUUCCACAGCUCAUCUAGGAUGUUGUUUGACUGAAAGAUUGAAUUACAUGGUAACUUACUACUGAAGAGUAUUUUGAUAAUUUCUAUCAAAUUUUAUCUCUUUCGAUAAUCAUAACAUAUUGCUAGAUAUCAAUCUUGACUUGUAGACUCAUUGAAAUUAAAAAAGUUUAAUUCAAGAAUUAAUUAAGAAGAGUCCUAAUUAAUUGGGAUGCUUGGGUUGA
rnacentral:lncRNA from 1 species